rnacentral:rRNA from 1 species
UACGAAGGGAGCUAGCGUUGUUCGGAAUCACUGGGCGUAAAGCGCACGUAGGCGGAUGUGUCAGUCAGGGGUGAAAUCCCGGAGCUCAACUUCGGAACUGCCUUUGAUACAGCACGCUUGAGUCCGAUAGAGGUGGGUGGAAUUCCUAGUGAUAGAGGUGAAAUUCGUAAGAUAUUAGGAAGAACACCGGUGGCGAAGGCGGCCCACUGGAUCGGUACUGGACGCUGAGGUGCGAAAGCGUGGGGAGCAAACAGG